rnacentral:tRNA from 2 species
GUUGCGGUGGCCGAGGGGUUAAGGCGUUAAACUCGAAAUCCAAUGGGAUCUUCCCGCGCAGGUGCGAAUCCUGCCCGCAACG